GGUCCCGCCUGCCCUGUGACUAUAUGUUUAACGGCCGCGGUAUUUUGACCGUGCGAAGGUAGCGCAAUCACUUGUCUCUUAAAUGGGGACCUGUAUGAAUGGCAUAACGAGGGCUUGACUGUCUCCUCUUUCAAGUCAAUGAAAUUGAUCUCCCCGUGCAGAAGCGGGGAUAAACACAUAAGACGAGAAGACCCUAUGGAGCUUUAGACACUAAAGCAGAUCAACAUUAAUUAACCUAAACACAGGAUACGAAUAAACUGAACCCUGCCCUAAUGUCUUAGGUUGGGGCGACCGCGGAGUAAUAAAAAACCCCCGCAAGGACCGAAUGUACUACAUUCACAACCAAGAGCGACAGCUCUAAUUAACAGAUACUUCUGACCAAUAAGAUCCGGCAAUACCGAUCAAUGGACCAAGUUACCCUAGGGAUAACAGCGCAAUCUCCUCUUAGAGCCCGUAUCAACGAGGGGGUUUACGACCUCGAUGUUGGAUCAGGACAUCCUAAUGGUGCAGCCGCUAUUAAGGGUUCGUUUGUUCAACGAUUAAAG
rnacentral:rRNA from 1 species